UGAAUACAAUCAAUGUUGACG
rnacentral:piRNA from 1 species